rnacentral:tRNA from 1 species
CAUUGAGAAGCUAAUUUCAUAAGCGUUAACCUUUUAAGUUAAAGAAUGGGAGCAUUAACCUCCCCUUAAUGA